GCAAGUCGAGCGCGCCCUUCGGGGUGAGCGGCGGACGGGUGAGUAACGCGUGGGAACAUACCCUUUUCUAUGGAAUAGCCUCGGGAAACUGAGAGUAAUACCUUAUACGCCCUUUGGGGGAAAGAUUUAUCGGAGAAGGAUUAGCCCGCGUUAGAUUAGGUAGUUGGUGGGGUAAUGGCCUACCAAGCCUACGGUCUAUAGCUGGUUUGAGAGGAUGAUC
rnacentral:rRNA from 1 species